UGACAUUCACAAAAUAUAAAUAAAAGGAAGAUAUGCUGGAACUUUCUCCAAUAGUUCAAUGUUUAUUGGCUUCUUUUUCAAAGGUGGGAAGAAAGGUGGAGUUGGCUAUAUCCUGCUCCCACAUGGAAAGCUAGAGCAGAUUGCUUUCCCCUGGAGUUUUCAGAUCUCAGCGUUGUCCACACAGCUUCCAGCAAUUCAUCAAUUACAGUGCAAGUUUUCCUACCCUAGCACUGAUUCCUGCGGUGGUUUCCUGAGUGUCUGCUCUGAACCCAGAGAAAUGGUGUUACCUGGCGAGAGAUCUUCUGUCUUUUAUGAAAAAUUAGACAAAGGUAAUGCUUAUUUCAAAUUGGUAUUUUUUUCAGUCUGUAUAACUCUGAUACAUAAAACUAGUUGGCUUUCCCUGAUUAUUGAUUUUAGAUAUUGAAUUACCCAUCAAAAAAGUAAAUUAUUAUCUGAAAAGUCAAGGGAAGGCUUUACAAUGAUCAUCAGAUUGAUAAAGUGAACAGAACAUUUUUAGAUAAAUAAUAGCUUUCCAAAACAUUUUGGGUAAUGGUUAAUUUUCUGAUACCAUUUUGAAAUUUAUAUUAAUAUAUAAAUAGAUCUUGGCUAUAAGAUUGCAGUCUCUUUGGAAAGAACUCCAAUUGGUUUAUCAUAUUUACAAAUGAUAGAUGAUAACAGCAUUAGACACUUGUUAAGGUACAAUAACAAGUACCUUUAUGCAGCAUUAGUAAGAUGACUAUGUAUUUUUCGAAUAUACAAAAAAAUUUCAAUAUGAAUUACUAGAAAAUGUCAUCAAGCUUUAUGAAGACAUCCUCAUGCAAAAUACAUACUUUCUUUGGGAAGAUUGAAUUAUAUCAUACAGUUGUUGAAUAGCAUGCCUGAUUAUGCUUAACAGAUUGCAUAUUUACUUGCUAAAUUUCCAAAUCGCUAUGUGAUUUAUUUACAUAUGUUGUCCUAAGAAUAUGAAAACUCAUGCAAAUAUUCUAAUGACAUAUGCAUGUAUACAAAGUGUGAGUAUAGCUGCAGAUAAAUAAUGUGUGUGUGUUUUAUGAAUAAAGCUAUCUCAAAAGAGGUUUUUAAAGAAAAA
rnacentral:lncRNA from 13 species